UACGUAGGGUGCGAGCGUUAAUCGGAAUUACUGGGCGUAAAGCGUGCGCAGGCGGUUCGUCGUGUCCGAUGUGAAAGCCCCGGGCUCAACCUGGGAAUGGCAUUGGAAACUGGCGGACUCGAGUGUGGCAGAGGGGGGUGGAAUUCCGCGUGUAGCAGUGAAAUGCGCAGAUAUCGGGAAGAACACCCGUGGCGAAGGCGGUUCUCUGGGACGGUACUGACGCUGAGACGCGAAAGCGUGGGGAGCGAAACAGG
rnacentral:rRNA from 1 species